GAGAUUUCCUUGGCUCAUACCAGGCACAGCUUGACCCAUACUAACACCACCUUGGAGGUUGCUCAUUGGUUGUGACAUCCCAAGGUUAUUGUUGCCAGAGACAUUAGAGGUACCUGAAGUGAAUGAAUUAAGACCUGGGUUCUGCGCAACCUGUGUAAGAGUGCCGGACCCUGAAGAUGUAAAUACAUUUUGAGCAGCACCAACUGAAGAUGCCAUUCCACUAGAUAUCAUAUUUGAUACAUGCAUGGCCAUAGGAUUUUGACCCAUAGUUGGGAGUCCCAUAGAAGUUCCUCCAGUUAAGGCUGCUGCGUUCAUCACACGUGCCUGAGAGAUGUUAUUGAGGAUGCUACCUACAGGACGCGAGGGAUGUGUCACACCACUCACUACAGGUUUCAAAUCUGGCACAUUAUCAUUGUUUGUGGCCAUCUCUUGAGAAGCAGAAGAUGGUGAAGAAGUCUGCAAGCUCGGGACUCCUUGGGAAGGAGGACGGACAGAUGGAAUGUGUGCAAAAGAAGGUCCCAUGGAACUUACGGUACUUGGCUCCUAAACAAAUCAUAUCAAAACUUUAUAACUAUACGUGUGCAAUUUAAAGCAGUAUACCAGACCAAAGUGAACAUCUCUUUCCUUUGCACAAAGCAUAAAAGUUCAAGAGUGCAUAAGAAAUCUUACAACUUUUACAGUAGCAGGAGGCACAUUUCCAACAGAAAUUGGUUGCCGAUUCAUAACAGGUCCAUUCACUAAUUUGAAAAAGAGGAAAGAAAAAGAAAGGACAAGUUAGCAAACAAGCAGGAUAACCAAGAAUUAACCAUGAAAAAUUAUGAACAGCCUAACCAUAACAAACUUAAGUGAUUAAUUCAAGCAAGACAGCCUAUUAUACUAAGAUUUGUAAUUCAAACCUUACUAUGUUCAUUUGAGGGGUAUGACGAGACAAUUACUCUUAUAAAAGAUAAAAUAGAAAUUGCGACUACACCUUAUUGACACUGAAACAUUGAUAAUUUCAACAAAAAAAAAGUCAAAUAGAUAAGUGAAACCGAAUCAUUAAGUACUUUCAUUAACAGAAAAAAAAAAAAAAAAAAACCAAAUAUUUUGCAGUGGAAAAAGGGACAACAUAUUGACUGCAAAACCAACCAGAGGGCAUAGAAGUUGGAGGCGGCCCAGUAACUGAAGCAACAGGAGCUAUGUCCAUUUUUACAGGACUCUGAUUUGAGGGCAAAGUUGUAAUUCCUGGACGACUUAAAGUAGCACGGGCCUCCAUAAAAUUCUCUGAGAUUAAAACAAGAAAGCGGGGAUUUUUCGCAUUAUCAAUUGGUGGAUCUGCCGCUCUAGGGUUGCGCUUUCCCUGCAUUGGCAAAGUGCUCACUAUCACACCAACUUCUUCUAGUGAUCUUAAGCCAUAGGAAAUAAAAUAUUCAGUCUGGCAAUAAUACUAUCACCUCCCUUUUGUAUUGUCGAACAUUCUUUGCAGCUUUAUUAAUAUAAUUAGACAGUGGUUCCAUGCAUAUGAAUACCAGAAAAAACUAUAUUUUUUGUUCAAGACAGUCUAAGUGGUUGAUUUUAGAAUUCAACAACAUAAAGGGUUAAAGCUCAACAGAGCACCAAGGAAAAUAAAGGAAGUUACUUUAAUGUUGAUUUAGCAAGAUAUACAAAAGGUCAAAAGCUUAAUACAUACAUACAUACAUACAUACAUACAUACAUACAUACAUAUAUAUAUAUAUAUAUAUAUAUUAUAUAUAAUAUUUAAGGAUAAGAGAUAAGAGAUGGAACAUACCGCAUUGUAUAUUGCUCUGAGCUCAGGUAGCUGUAUUGGACAAAUGACUGACAGUGAAACAGAGCUCUGGAUGAAAAAGUAAGGGCUCAUUACUGAUAAUUUUCAACCUUCACGAGGAACCCAUCACAAGGAAAGGAACAGACAUCAUUAAAAUGGGAAUAAACAAAAACACUACCUGUGGAAAUGAUUUAGCAACAGCCUCAGCAUCAUAAAGACGAUUUUCUGUUUGUGCAUCAAUAUUUUCAUUUUGCUCCAAAUUUUGAAUUUGUGGCCGAUACACUGGUGUGGGCAGAGGGUGAGGUUUACUUGCAGCAAUAAGAACACAAUGCUUCUGACAAUCCACAUUUUGUUGAUUUUGGCUUCCAUUUUGAACUGUAGGGAACAUCUGUGUUUUACAUCAGAAGAAUAGUAAAUGUUAAGUUUAACAUGCGACUAAGAAAUGCAUUUGAACUCAAAAGUACUUAGACGGCUUUGAACAGCAUACCAUUAGAGCUUCCGAAAGCCCUUCCGCAAUUGCAGCAUCACUAAAACCACCCCCAGAAAAGGGUAUAGCUGAAAGCCUAUGUAAGAAGAGAUCCACAUCCCUUGUCCAGCCACUCCGUUGUACCAGGCAACCUUGAUGAAAGGUUGUACAAUUAUUUCAAAAUAUUCAUAUAUAUAUAUAUAUAUAUAUAUAUAUUGAGCAAAUGCCAGUUACAGUAAUGACAUGGAAUGCCUACAUAUCAUCUUGGUGAAUUGGGUUCAUAAGAAACAAGGUGUGAUACUAGUUAAGUGGUAAUUUACCAGGAAAAAAAAAAAAACUUCCAUUUCCAGCCAUAAGUUGUCCUACUAAGGGGAACUGGAAACGUAUAACUUAAUGUAGCUCGCUGUAUUUCCACAUAAAGUUCGCAAAACAAGUUUUUCAGACUUCCAGGUGGUGUUAUGUACAAAGAGCCACUACGUUACAAUAAAGUCUACUAAUUUUAGAAUUUAACUUAAAGCUAGUAAAAAUCCACCACUUCAAAGGGAAUAAUUCCACAAAGCAUGUUAAAAUCACCAAGAAAUCAUUUGCAAACCUUGAACAACAUCCACCUUAACUUUCAAACAAUUAUUUGACUUAGUAUAAGAUUGAACCCUGUUUACAAAGAACUAUUUGACUUAGUGUAAGAUUGAAUCCUGUUAGUAGGAGGAUGGAGGACUAGCAAGUCUUCCCCUACAAAAAGUAAAAUUCCUGAAGAAUUUGUAGUCAACCUCGUACUGCAAUAAUAAAUUAACAACACAAGUCAUACAUCCGAAAACUAGGAAUAAGAAGAACAAAAUUACAUACCACAAUAAGAUCCAUGAGUAUUGAACGUGACCAGGGAGAGCUCAACAGUAGAAGUCGACAGCUUCUGCAUCUCAAAAGCCAAAUUACAUAAUAAGAAAAAGACUACCAAGCUAGAAGUCUUACAGACGGAACUAAUAAUGUUGUUGCCAGUGAAACGUAAGAAUGGUUGUCUAUGGUUUGAUAAUAGUUGAUGUAGUGUACACAAAUGGUAAUCAAAUUAUUACAUGCAUGCUAUUAACAUCUAGUCAAAGAAGGCACAACCACCUACACGAAAACAUGUUUAAAUAUGUAAUGAACAAUUAACAGUUCGGACAAAUGACUUCUGAUGGAUAAUGAUAAACCUAAAGUAAUGGAAAAGGGACAUACCUGCCCACUUGGCUCGUUUCCACAGAAACUCCUGCAGGAAAAAGAUAAAUCAGAUGUGACUUAUUUAUAGAGUAGUGCAUAAAAUCCCAUGCAUGUUAAUGAAAAAUCAAUGACAAACUUCAUAUUUGGUUCUAUGUACAGGAAUGUAUUAGAUGAAGAUUGUUAAUAUUCCAAGUAUGAACUUUUGCUGAAGUUGUUAUAGCUAGGCACUUAUUAACUUUUAGAAUUCUCCAGGACACUAUAAAAAUUUCAUGUGCAAUGAAAUGAAACUGUAAAUGGGAAAUCAUGAUAAAACCUCAUCUUUUAUACUAUACUUGGGGGAGUUAAUUAAACCCCAGGAGAAAUAUAUGAUUCAACAGGACAAAUUCAUGAGAACUUACCUUGUAACCUACAUCAUAAGUAGAAACCAGAAAGUAACGUGUGAAAUCAAAGCCGGUCAUAGACAAGGAGGGAGAAAGAACAGAAGCUAGCUACAACACAGCACAAAGGAAGAAAGAUAGAAAAAUUACUAAGAACUUAAUCGCGAACCUUACGAUCUUCUCUAAAUAAUCUUUAAAAAUGAGUUCCCAGAAGGGACCCAUGGCUGCAGUCCCUUCAACAGUGAUGAUCAGUUGUUUCUCAGCCAUUAAGGUUUUCUCUGUGAUAGGAUUGGGGAUCUACUUUUAAAGAUCACAUUGACGACCUCGGGCAUAUCUAUUAGUCUCAUUGAUGAGCACGUAUGUACGUUUUUCUCUAGUUAUUGACACGUCUGCACGAAACUCUGUAAGGUAAAAACUAACCAUCCACCAUCGACCACGUAACCUAUACGUUACUGAUUAUAGUAUUACAAUAACAAAAAUAAUAUUAAGAAUUUAAAUAAUUAAUAAUAAUGUGUAAAAAUACACUUCAGACAUCGUAGUAUAGAGAAUGCUCACUCCAAUAAGCUGGAGCAUGAUACUCUGCUUCAAGAUGUCUAAGGAGUUAUCCACUCUCUCCUUUGCUUGACCACCGGAGGAAAACCAAUUAUUCAAUGUCAAACCCAAAACGUAAAUAUGACAGAUUUAGCCUAUAAGUACUGUAUUUGUUCCUAAAGCAGAAGGUUCUGUAAUAAGUUAAUAGCAAACACGGGAUAAUAACUGAAAGUUACCUCAUUAAAAUCGCUUGUAUUGUCUGCAUAAUUUGGAAGGAAGUUAAUCUUGAUACAUGGAAUGUAUCUAUCUGACCAAUUAUAGGACUUAUUUUCCAUCACAUGCCAACAAGCAACAAAUCAUCGCAUGGAGCUCAUCACCGCGGAUAGCUUCUAACAAAACUGACGAGAACUAACUAAUUAUUUAUAAAUCAAUCAAAAUCCAGUUUCCAUCAGGAUUAUAUGAAAUAAAACUUUGUACAUAGUAGAAAUAUAGCAAGGCUGCCUACGGUUUCACGGUACGAGGGUACAGAAAAAUCGGACCUUUCUACAACUACAACACACUAAACUAGUUUUAUCAGAUUCUUUAGUAGCUGACGAAAGAUUCAAAAUUGAACCAAAACUGUAUAGUUUUUCCAGCUAACAAACAACUACUCCGCAUAACCAAUUUCAAAGUGAAAAGUGAAAUUGCAAUCAAAUGUCGAAUCCGAGCCACCAAACGCAGCCGAAACAAGCUAAUUAAUCACAUAAACAAGCCACAUAAAAUUCUCGCCCGAUAACAAACACCAAAACCCUAAAAUCACAAUGCAACAAAAAAUCUAAAAAAGAAAUCAACAAAAGAAUAAAUUCAGCUAAGAAACUCCCUACCUGAUGAUCUUAUCAAGGUAAUCGGAGACGACGGUUGCCCAGCAGGGCCCCAUGGCGGCGGUGCCUUCAACGGCCACGAUCAGCUGCUUCUCCGCCAUCGUACAGCUAGAAAGGACCGUAGAGAAAUUUCAACUGCUUUUGCUGGCUGUGCGGCGGAAAUGUGUGAGAGUCCAAAGCUUGGAAACGGUGGUAAGUGCACGAAACGCAGCGUUCUGGACGACAAAGACGAGUAUUUUAAAUGGGAGUCGAUACCCCGCUGCUGCCGCGACUGGUUUGGGGUUUCUUCCGGUGGCGCAAAAUUAAAGGCCGAGCCCACAGCCUUUUUUAAGUUUUUUUUUUUUUUUUUUUUUUGAAAAACUGGAAAUAUUCAUAACCAGGGCUGGAACCAAAAACACAGGGAGACCUAUCAGGAGGCAACAACCAAAGUACACAAACAGAUGGCAAUGAAGAGGGGAACAAAGGCUAAAGAUGUUGCACCAAGUGUGAAGCGUCACCCUUUCACUACCCAAAAACAAUUACGGAGGACAGGGGAGGCCAUCCUUGUUCAAAAUAUGCACCAGCGAAUAUGGGGGAUGGUUAAUCCAAGUAUAACCACACAUCUCCGUGUUACUUCUCGACGCCAAACGGUCCAUCGCCAAAUUGACUGAUCUCGAAACCCAAUACCAACGAUACAUCUAAAAGGAAUCCUGAAGCCUUAAAAUUCUAGUCAACGUAGGAUAAGUCUCUCAGCUGCAGAGGACAAAUCAUUACCAAAAAUGUUCUCUUUAGAAUCCGAUUCAACAAUAAUUAUGUGCAAGCCCAGAGAAUGAGCAAAUUCACAUCCAAACAAAAUGGCAAGAGCUUCUGCCACAACAACACACGGAGCAGAAAUCAUCAGUUUCCACACCCCAACAAACCUUCCAUCAGUGCAUCUGGCCACAAUCCCCACACAGCCCUCAGCCGAAGUAACAUCCCAGCUCGCAUCAACAUUGAGCUUGGUAAACAUGGAACAGGGCAGAGAUCAACGAACCAAACCCAAAGGGGAAACCUGCUGAGGUAGAAAGUUCCUCAAAGGUGGAUAAGAAGCCUUCAAAAAAGUUGUUGUCGAAGAGGAGAUAGACAUAAUGACUUUUUGUGGGUUGAUAGCCGUUUGGUUAUAGAGAUUGUUGAUAAUCAAAAUCGGAGGUCUUGGAACAACGUAAAUCCGUCCGUGAAUCUGCAAGAAAUGUAAAUAACACAAGAGUUAUCGUGGUUUACCCCAAGGCUUGGGCUACGUCCACACUGAUUGUAUUUCUCUGACUGUAUGUAUGGAUUACAAGGGUGAGGGGGAGUCCCCCCAGAGAAAGAGAGUGUUAUUGUGUUUGUGAGGGUAUUGCCCUCUGUUGGGUUCACUAAGUCCCCUUUGUGAAAGGAGAAAAGUCCCUUUUUAUAGAAUAAGGGGCUCCUCCUUUUACAUAAUCAUAUGGGCUGGGUAAUGAGGCCAAAUGUAUCAAAGUCUGAGGCCCAAUAUGUGUGGUACCAACAGUAGUCCCCCAAGUUUUCAGUCAAGAGAGUCUUUUGGCUGGAGACUUCAAAUCCAAUCCAUGUAUGGGCCGAAGUGGCUAGAUGCCUUGAACCAGUACUCAACCCAAGGCAAUGCUCAACAUAAAGCAAUAUUCGGCUAGAGGUAUCACACGUUACGAGAUUGCUCGGUUGGAGGCGAUGCUCGUUGUGAGGCUGCUCGGCUAAAGGCUAUACGCGACGAGGCAUUUGCUCGGUUGGAGGCGAUGCUAAUUGCGAGACGGCUUGCUAGAGGCUAUGUUCGCUGCGAGACGGCUCGGUUCGUGGUACUCCUCAUUGCAAGUAUCUAUUUUAUGUCGACAUGCACUCAGUAUGAGUUAAUUCUCGACAUGACUCGGGUCCGCUUGUCGGGUUCGCAUAUUGGGUCUAUGUGUCGGAUCCGUGGAUCGAGUCCGCAAGUCGAGUCUUUGAGUUGGGGUCAUAUGUAUGGUCAUUGAUUUGGGGCUAUCUAUAGGGUUAUCGAGUUGGGACUAUCUGUAAGGUCAUCGAGUUGGGUCCGGGCACAUAAGUGUCCCAAUAAGCGAAUGUCCGUGCAAGUGGGUGUCCGGUCAGACAAGAGAUCACCAUGAGCACAUGGCUCAUCAAUCUAUAAGUUGGUAGAUUUCGUUAAUCAGCAAUAAUGUUGAUCAGUGGACCUAGUUGCUCAAUAAUUCCUAACAAUAAAUGACAGUAUAAGUACGACCGUAUAAUGAAUAAAUCAAAUUGACAAAGUUUGUCAAGGCAAAAUAUUGUACUAUGUGCCUUCUAUACAUAAAUAAUUUAUUCAGUCGUGUGGUAAAUAAUUUGUAUCAUAUAUCAACAAUAUAUUAGGUAUUGCCUAAAUGUGUGUGUAUAUAUAUAUAUAUAUAUAUAAUCAUAUGUUGUUUAAUAAAUCAUAUGUUGUAUAAAUCAAUAACGUGGUAUAAAUAAUGUGAUAUCAGAAAUAAUAUUAUUUAAUCAUAAGUCAUCAUAACAUAAAAAAUAAUAGGAUAUUAAAUAAACAAUGAUAUUCGGAAAACAUUAUGAUGUGAAAAGUAAAGCUCUUUUUUCUUUUUCUUUUUCCUUUUGUCCCUUCAUGAUGAAGGUUUUAUGGCACUAUCAUAUAUAUAUAUAUAUAUAUAUAUAUAUAUAUAUAUAUAUAUAUAUGUGUGUGUGUGUGUGUGUGUGUGUGUAUGUAUAUACAUAUAUUUAUCAUGAGGUGCCGCAUUAUAUGCACAUAUCACGAAAGCAAAUAAUAUAUAGCUAAAUGUGCACUAAAAUAUAAAUUUGAUAGAAAUGAUGUGGUCUCCUCAAAGAAUAUGCAUACUGUAAAGCAUCCCCAACACAAAAUAAUAAUAAACUAUUUAAAUAAACAAAUGAUAAGUUGGAGAAAAGUAAGAGGAUCUUCCUCCUUAGAAAUUAUAAGUUGCUUUCAUUUGGGAUCCUCAUCUUCUCCAAUUGGGUAUAUAUAUAUAUAUAUAUAUAUAUAUAUAUAUAUAUUUUAACAAAGGGAUAGUGGGUAAACAUUAUACCAUGUACCCUUUUUCUUUCUGCCAUGAAUGAUUACAGAUAUAACACUAAAAUAUUGAAAACAUGAGUGAUUAAAGAUAAGUAGCAGAACAUCAUAGAAUGCAUGUGAUGAUAAAAAAUAAUUAAAGGUAAAUAAUAAUAAAAUAAUAAUAAGGAACCCUUAUCUUCCUCCUGGGUCUUCCAGCUUUCUCAGAAAGUGGAAAGUGGACAUGGUGGUAUUCACAGGAGGUGGGAUCCCUGUGUCUGGAAUGAUUAAAGAUAGAUAAGUGUGAUAGAAAUGAUUGCCUUCGCUGCUUUUAGUGAAGGCUUUUUCAACAAAGUGGGAAAAUGCACUCCCCCUCCUAAAAUACAGACACCUUCCGUCGCACAGCACCAACACCGAGUCCAGUUCUUAUAGGCGAUGCUGAGCAGGUUGUGCUCCUCCACCGUCAGCUCGGUCCCGGCGGCGAUGGAGCCGACAACAAGCUUAUCCAUGAAGCUCAUCAUCUCUUCGUACCGCUCGGCCUGCUCGGCGAGUUUUGCCAGGUACACGUACUGUUCUCUGCUGAGGUUUUCAGGGACAGCAGAAGCCAUUGAAGCAGGCGAAUCAAGCGUUCUGCAUCCUCCCCGACAUGGGCACGAACGACAUCGCGGCCUGUGGAAGGAUCAUAGAUGGCAAGGUUGACAUAGGAAUAAGUGGACUGAAAGAGGCCGCAGACCAAAGGCAGACAGAGUCAGGGGCCUUCCAUGUCUUGAGAAUGCAGUAGAUGUCAACGAGGUGUUCAAGGUGUUGUGCUUGUGCCAGCAAUUGCCAACUCAAACUGAGCGCAGCACGGCCACCAGAGAAGGCAUAUUUUUGUCAACAGACUCCAGCUCACCUCGGAGGAAGAGGCAAGUCGAGUUCAAGAGGCUUUGGAGGUAGGUGCCACCAUGGCUGCUCUCCAACGACGGUGUUGGUGUCUUGGAUGGCAUUGAUUUGAUUAAUUAUAGCUGGCUGGCGGUGUUUGGUUUUUUGUACCUAAAAUCUAAGUAGUAAACUCAAAUAUAAGAGAGAGAGAGGGUAUAAAGAGACUGUGACUGUGACUGUUUUUUUUUUUAUUUCUUUUUGUUUUGGUUUUUGGGUUUCUGCAGAUUCACGAUAGAUAUUGUGGUGAGGUUUCACGGUGGUGAGAUAAAAAAAUGAAAGUCGUUUCCCACAAAUUGCACCAAAUGUUGAUGCACAAAACCGGAGGUCUUGGAACAACGUAAAUCCGACCGUGAAUAUGCAAGAAAUGUAAAUAACACAAGAGUUAUCGUGGUUCACCCUAAGGUUUGGGCUACGUCCACACUGAUUGUAUUUCUCUAACUGUAUGUAUGGAUUACAAGGGUGAAAGGGAGUCCCCCAGAAAAAGAUAGUGUUGUUGUAUUUGUGAGGGUAUUGCCCUCUGUUGGGUUCAAUAAGGGGCUCCUCCUUUUACAUAAUCAUAUGGGCUAGGUAAUGAGGCCCAAUGUAUCAAAGUAUGAGACCCAAUAUGUGUGGUACUGUUGAUCCUAAAAACUACAAAGCUUACGUAGCGCGCAGGCCGAGUAAUCUAUAAGCUAACUACGUCAUUCGAUGAAUGCGGGGCGUGCCAACUCGUUGCCCGAGCUUGACCGAGGAGUAAAUUUGUUGAUGUUGCGUUGGGUACGCGGCUGACUUCUGCGUCUUGCGAUUGCGACCGAAGAAGGAACACGUCUCGGCCUCUUGGGUUCUCGAACCUGAAGACAAGGCUACUAUUCUUACAAAGUUCACGAAUCGUCGUCGUUGGAUUCGGUCACAGUGAUGGUAUUCGUCAGAGUAAACUCACGCCGAAUCGACACCAAAGUGUAAGAGCACAAAUACUCGAAGCAGAUAUGAGUCUUAAUAAUGAACGUGGUUCGACCGUCUGAACGUCGAACUCUAAAUCCUACUUGAGAGUAUCCAAUCAUCAAAUAACUCGGCGUACAAUGUGCUGAGCUCGGUGGGCUGUAACACCUCGCUUCGUCGAAAAGGUUAACGAGAUGACCUCAAUCAAUAAGGAUUCAGAAAUCAUUCUCAACCGAGACUUGGAUAGGUAACCAACCGUCUUCGUCGUAGUGCUGUUGAUGCCAACAGAAGAUACUACGAGAUCGACUGAUUCUACGGCGACAGAGCUAUCUAUGUCGACCGAAGAUAUCAUUGGUUGCUUUCACAGUGUUGUUGAUGCCAACGGAAGAUGUGUCAGCGAAAAGAGAAAAUAAAAAAAAAUCUCAAGUUGUUGAGAGAGUUUGCGCAUGGCAGUUGUGUGUUGAAUUGGAAAGGGCUCGAACGAUGCACAGCCUCCUCUAUUUAUAGCACCGAAUACCUUCAAGGUCGAGUUAAAAACCUACCAAGAUUAGGACUUCUUCUCCUAAUCGAACUCCAACUCGACCAGUCUUUUUUUUCACUAUACUUUUGAACCCAGUCCUAUAUUGAGCCGGAUUCACUUCCAGGUUGUUAAUCUCGUCGAAACUCCUCAUUGCACCAGGAUUCGACUCGUCUUGCAGCAUGACUUAACCUACCCAGGUUUGGAAGCCCACGAACCAAACAAUCCAUGGUAACUUUGUCGUAUGGCCUUCCGGGCAGAGAAUAAUUCUAUACUCGGUCCAAACUGAUAUUUUGGGCCCAAACAGGUACCAACAGAGAUAAUUACACCGAGCCUUCCAAAUAAACCAACAAGUGAAGGCAACAUAAGACAAUGACCAAAUAGUUGCAUCCUUAGAUCCUAAAGGUGAAUUUAAAAAAAAGAAAACCAGUUCGCCAACAUCGAGAAACCAGUUUUAUCCACCACGUAAUAAACAGUCAAUAUUAAGACCAACUCCAAUGGUGGGCUAAAAGCUAAAUUUCCCCAUUUAUUCCCCUUCCCAAACACCACCCAACCCAUGCUAAAAUAUCGAGCUAAAAGCCAAAUGCCAAAGCUAGGCCAAAUUCCCCCAUAUGCGAGUGGACUUGCUAGCACUUGGGCCAGUCUCGGCCCGCCCACGCUCCAACGCACCCCAUGCGGUUGGCUUGCAAGGGUUUCCCGACAGGGGUGAGCCCCGCUGUCAGCUGUGUGUCGGCCAACAUUAUCAUCCUAACAACUAUAGUUUUAAUCCAAGGGCUGGGCUCAGUGGCGGAUCUACAGAGGGACCUGGGAGGUCCCAGGACCCUCCGGCAAUCCUAAAAUGCUACUAUAAAUUUUCUGGGGGACCCCUCAAAGCAGGAUCUGUGCUGUCAUGUGCUGCAGGUUGCAGCUUGCAAUGGAGAAGAAGACAGGGGGAAGAAAAGAAGACAGGGGGAAGAAGAAAGAACAGGGCCUAAAGGCCUUUUAAAAAAUUGGUCCAAAACGCAGUGUUUUGGCCAAUUUGUUUAAAUUGUUUUUUUUUUUUUUUUUAAAACCCAACCGUUUGUCCAUGAUUCCCGAGACCCUUUAACGCCUAGCCCACAUGAUGGGCCAUCCUGAGUCACUCUUCCUUCCCCACCCCCCAGUUCCUGCUUUUCCAUUCCCCCUAAUCCCCAUCUUUCUUAUAUUCACCCAAAACCAAAACCCUAAAUUUCUAAUCCCACCCAAUCCCAUAUUAUAAUUAUAUUACUCCAAUAUUAUACCUCCACUUGUUUCAAUUCUCCAAGCCACCACUAUUUGGUUCAAAAUUCAAGUAAGUUUUUUGGUAUUAAUCUAAUCUCAAUUAAAUUAUAUUAGAUAUUGGUGGAGAUUUUUAGUCUAUUAUUGAUAUGAUUGUUGAUAUGUUUUAUGUUUGUAUACUCAUUUUAUCAUUGAAAUUUAGAUGGAUUUUUUGUUUAUUGGUUGAUUGGUAUAUGUUUUGUGUUUUUGGUUAAAUGUGUAGUUUAGAAAUAAGAAAUAUGGAAAGAUUUUUCAAGCCAAAGCCAAUAGCACUAUCUACUUGUUCGGGUAGUUUGAGCUCAAGACAAAAUGAGCGUGACAUUGAUUUUAAUAGUCUUGAGAGAGACUUGGGAAAAAGAAUUCGAAUGAAGGACUAUCCUUCUAAUAUUCAAGAUGAGGUCCGAAUAGCAUAUUUGCAAAUGGGACCUUGUAGGCCUACAAAGUAUGAGUUCCCAUACACUUUGCAUGCAAAGAAAAAGCAACGAUUUGUUGUUUCGUGGUUUGAAGAAUAUGAUUGGUUGGAGUAUAGUAUAUCUAAAGAUGCGGCAUUUUGUCUUCAUUGCUAUCUCUUUAAAAUCAACUUUUCACAAUUAGGAAGCGAUGCCUUCACUGGGGUAGGCUUUAAGAAAUGGAAGAAUGCAAGAGAAUGUUUUGACAAGCAUGUUGGUCCUAUUGGUAGUUUCCAUAAUAAAGCUAGAGAAGCGGCUAGUUAUUUAAUGAACCAAAAGACACAUAUUGAAGCAGUUGUGAUCAAAUAGUCAGAAGAAGAGUGUAUGAAAUAUCGUCUUUAUUUGAAUGCAUCAAUAGAUUGCACUAGUUCUUGUUGCGACAAGUCCGUCCUUUUUGUGGCCACGAUGAAAGUGACACUUCGAAUAAUAGGGGGAAUUAUUUAGAACUCUUGCAAUUCCUUGCGGAUCAUGAUGAGAAAAUAAAGGAAGUUGUGUUGGAAAAUGCUCCGAGAAAUCUCAACCUAAUAGCUCAUUCAAUUCAAAAAGAUAUUGUCAAUUCAUGUGCCUUCGAAACUAUUAAGGCUAUUAUGAAAGAAGUGAAAGAAAGUAAAUUCUUUUAUAUAAUGGUAUGAAUCACGUGAUAUUUCAACAAAGGAGCAAAUGGUAGUGAUUUUGCGUUAUGUGGACAACAAAGGUCAAGUAAUUGAAAGGUUCGUGGGAGUCAAACAUGUUACUGAAACAACUUCAAGUAAACUAAAGGAGUCCAUUGAUGAGUUCUUGAAACUACAUGAUUUGAGCUACUCCAACCUACGAAGUCAAGGUUAUGAUUGAGCGAGUAAUAUGAGAGGUGAGUUCAAUGGCCUUAAAAAAAAAAUUUGGAUGAAGAAAGUUGUGCAUUCUAUGUUCAUUGUUUUGCUCAUCAACUACAAUUAGCUUUUGUUGCUGUAGCAAAGAAAAACUCCGAUGUUGGCGCUUUUUUCACAUUGACUAAUAAUUUGGUGAAUGUUGUUGGAUGCUCAUGUAAGCGUCAUGAUGCACUUAGAGAGAAACAACAAGAAAAUCUCAUGAAAGCUAUUGAAAAUGAUUGUCUUGAAACGGGGCAAGGGUUAAAUCAAGAAACUAGUCUCAAACGUGCUGGGAAUACACGGUGGAAUUCACAUUAUGGUGCUUUGAUUAGUUUGAUUACAAUGUUCUCAUCUGUGGUGGAUGUGCUUGACAUGAUUGUUGAAGAUUGCUACAAUGAUAGUGCUGGUGAAGCAAAAGGUUAUUAAAAGAUUUACAAUCUUUUGAGUUUGUGUUCCUCCUCUUUUUGAUGAAAUCCAUAUUAGGAGUUACAAAUGAUUUGUCACAAGCAUUACAAAAAAAGAAGAUCAAGAGAUUGUGAAUGCAAUGGCUUUAGUCAAGACAUGUAAAGAACAACUACGUUGCAUGAGGAAUGAUGAAAAUUUUGAUCUUUUGGUUGAUAAAGUAUCAUCUUUUUGUGUUGAACAUGAAAUUGAGAUGCCUAAUAUGGAUGAUUUAUAUGUCAUUCAAGGGAAGUCAUUGCGUAAGGCUCCAAGAAAGACCAAUCGUCAUCAUUACAAAGUGGAGCUCUUUUUUGAGGUCAUUGAUUUCCAACUUACAGAAUUAGAUGAUCGCUUCACUGAAGGUAAUACCGAAUUGCUUAUUUGCUUGGCAUGUUUGAGUCUGAAUGAUUCAUUUGUAGCUUUUGAUAAAGAGAAGCUUGUUCGCCUUGCUCAGAUGUAUCCUAAAGAUUUCAUGGAUCGAGAUAAAUUGGCACUUCAAGAUCAACUUGAUAUUUACAUUCAUUUUGUGCGUUCUGAUAAUGAUUUUUCUCAAUUGCGGGGGAUUAAUGAGCUUGCUAAGAAAAUGGUGGAGAAAGGGUUGCAUCGAACGUUUGCAUAUGUAUAUUUGCUUGUUCAGUUGGCUUUGAUUUUACCGGUUGCAACCGCUUCAGUGGAAAGGGCAUUUUCCGCUAUGAAUAUCAUUAAGGGUCCAUUUCGCAACAAAAUGGGAGAUCAAUGGUUGAGUGACAGCUUAAUUGUUUACAUUGAGAAAUAUGUUUUUUCAUGUAUUGGUAAUGAAGCUAUCAUGGAACAUUUUCAGACUAUGAAACCUCAUCGUGGACGCUUGAAUUAGGAUUUUAUAGCUUGUAAUGUUGUUUUGCACAUGAUUUUUGAAUGAAAUGUAUUAUAUUUAACUUUUCAAUGUUAUUUUUGUCUAUAAAUUUUUUGACCUUUAUUAUUAGGAUCCCCCAAGUUUAAAAUCCUGGAUCCGCCACUGGCUGGGCUUUAAGGACCGUUGGUUGAUCCAACGGUCCAUAUUCAAAUUUAAUUUUUUUAGAAUAUGUUAUUUUAAAAUACAUUGAAUCCAAUGGCUGAUAUUGAAUAUAAUCAAAUCUAACGGUAAAAAAAAGAUCUAAUGGCCCAAAUUUAAAUUUAACGGCUAAAAUAAUUAAAAAAAUUAUUUAACUCAAAAUUCACCAAAAAACUCUAUAAAUACCUAUGUAUUUGUUCAAACAUCCACCCAAAACUCAAUUUUCUCCUACAAUUCUACCAAUUUAUCUUUCUACCAUUUAUUUCCAUUUCCAAAUUGUUCAACAUGGCAAUAGAGCAUAUUAGAGGUCGUAAUUGAACAUGUGAGGAAGAUGUUGCUUUAUGUUUGGCAUGAGUUUCUGUUAGCGAAGAUGGUGCAGUUGACACAAAUCCAAAUAAGAAGGUUUUGUGGUAUAAAAUCAUUGCAAAGUUUCAAGAAAACUGCAAUUGCGGCGGGCGGGAUGGUAGUGGUGUUUAUGAUCAGUGAAAGACUAUCAACAAAGCAUGCACUUUAUGGAAGGGAAGCAUUGAGAUAGCCGUGAUUGGCAUGGUUAGUGGAAAGAGCGCCACAUAAAUUAUGAGUUUUGUUCUUGAUAUUUUAUUUGUCACGUACAUAAUAUUAUUUUGCAACUAAUUAUUUUUAUGUAUUUUUUGCAUAGGGUGACAAAGCAAUGGAAAUUUACAAGACAAGAGUAACACUAAAAAAUCAAGUUUUUAAGUUGCAACAUGCUUGAGACGUCCUCAAGGAUUGUCCGAGGUGGGGAACCGAUGCAGACCAAUAAUGGGGAAGAUUAUUUCAACAUGAAGCCACACAGACAAAUGCCGGAGAUGAAGGUGUCGAUGAAAUGACCCCAUCUCCUUUUUUUGCAAGGCCCCCGAGAAGAGAUAAGCAAAAGGAAGCAAAGAGAAAAGGGAAGUCGCAAGAUUCGAUGAGUGGACACUUUGCUACCGGAAUUGCAAAAUUGAACGAAACUCAUAGCGCUUGCCAAGAAGAAACGGGCCAAAUGCGUUUGCAAAUGAAGGAAAUCUCAAAUAGGGAGUAAGAUAGAUUUGAAAUUAAUUUCAUGAUGGAAGACCUCAGUAAAUACAUUCCAGAGAGGAAGAAGUUCUUACGUGGUAAGCAAAAGAAAAUUUUACGAAAGUCUGCUUCAAGGAGUAUAUUUCAAAAUGAUGAAUCCUCUGAACCUUAUAUCCCAAGUCCUGUACGAAGUCCAUCACAAGUGAAGAUGGUGGAUAUGAUUAUUAAGUUUAUGUAGUGUAUGAAUUAUGUGUUUUAUUAAUUAAGUUUAUGUAGUUCAUUAAUUAUGUGGUUUAUGAAUUAUCGGUUGUAUUAAGUUUAUCUGGUUUAUGUACUUUAUUAAAUUUAUGUCUUAUUAAUUAUUGUUUCUAUUAAUCUAGAUGCCUUCAAUAAUUAUUGUACUUAUUAUUCCACACUUUGAUGUAUAAUAAAUGCUUUCAAUAAUUCAAUCUCCAUUCAAUAAUUUAUCCAACGUACUAAACAAAAUACUUUGCACAAUAAGACACUUAAAUUUAUUAUUAGAAAAUAACAACAUAGUACACUUAAAAUUAUUACAUAAAUGCUUAACCAACAUCAUCAAUGUUCACCUUCUCAUCAGUUGAGUCUGUAGAGCACCCAUUAGCUAGCAUGCAAAAAGCAGAUGUGAGCUUCUGAUGAAGUGAUAGACAUUGUCAGCUUGCGACAUCUAUCAUACUUGCAAAGUAGUGGUCAUGAAAGUUCAGCUUCAGCGUCGAACAAUUCUGCAUCCUCAAUCUCAAUCCUUGCUUGGUUUUGUGCCAUAUGCAUUGCCAUGCUACCCCUUAUUCUAUCACCCAUUGAAAGUUGAAAGAUUGGUGAAUAUAGAGGAUUUUUAGGAACAAAAAUUCAUUGAAAAUUGAAAGAUUGGUGAAUAUAUAGGAUGAUUGAAGGUUGAAAGGUUGUAUGAUCAACUAAUAUUGGACGUAUGUUUAUAUAGAGGAUGAUUGAUGAAAGUUGAACGGUUGGUGAAAGUUGAAAAUUUGGUGUUGAACAGUUGGUGAAUUGAAAAUUUGGUGUUGAACGGUUGGUGAAUUGAAAGUUAGCCUAGGGUUGAAAGAUUGGUGAAAGUUGAAGGCUUGCUUUAUGGAAAAUUUAGUGAUUUUUUAAUAUUUAUCGGAAUUUAAAUAUUUUUAUAUUAAAAUGUUCAUAAAAUUAAUUUACGAUAGUCUAUAUAUUUAUUUAUUUUUUAAAAUUUAACUGAAGAAAAAAAUAGCCUAAGUUCAUUAUUUAAUAAUUAUGAGCUAAAAUUUUAGGUCAGAAGGGUUUGAGCAGAAAAGUUGUUUCUGAGCUAAAAAUGUUGGCUUUUAACCCAACCAUUGGAGUUGAUCUAAUAGGGUAACCCUUGAACUAUUUUGUAUUGACCAAUUUGCACCCUACCUUUAAGAUUUUGAAUUUCUGACCACUUUUUUUUUUGUUGAUUUCUUUUUAAUUUCUAAACAAAAACAAAUGAAUGAGUGAAAAUUGUUAAUUUAGAUUUUGAUAUAAUCAUGGAGUGCAACACACUUAUUUGGGUUGGUUGUGUCAUCUUUGCUUGAUCUUUCUUUUAUUUCCUUCUAUUUUGAAUCAAUAUAAGUGGAGAAAUCAAGCAUUUUGCUUUGAAGAAUAAUAUCGAAAAAAAUCUCAAGAAUGGCAAGGAUAAUUUUCUACUAUAUCGGGAAAGUAUCAAGGAAAAAAAGGUAAUUUUCAGCUAUGAUGAGAAAAUCUCAAAAGUAUGAGAGGAUCCGAAUUUUAAUUUGAUAACAAAACUGAAGUUUAAUAUUCUAUUUUAAACUAAUCUAAAUUAUAAUAUGGAUAUUUAAAUUAAAAAAUAUAUUCGCUUCGGCCAAUGCAACUACCACUGAUCUAAAAAAGAAGUAAUUUUGGUUUCCUUCUUUUGGGUAAUGCAAAGACCCAAAAUUAGAAUCAUAAUACAAAAAAAUAAAUAUGCAUUUAUUCCCGAAAUUAGAAAAAAAAAAAGUAAUUAUUAAUCAAAUUUCAUGUUCAUGUGGGUGAACCCGUGGCAAGUGGCAGCAUAAAAUCCAUUUGAAUUUGAGGAAUUUAAUUUAAAUUAAUAAUGAAGUAAUCAACUUUGCACUUCAAUCGCUCUCCAAAUUCGCGGGAACACCAUGGCAGCCGCCGCUCAGGGCAGCUCUCUUCUCUGCUCCUGCCGCAGCAGACCAUGCACAACCAGAACAACCCUAUCCCCUUUCGGUCCCUAUCCCUUUCUCUCUCCUCUCACCCCCAUUGGCGCAAGCUCCAAACAGUUGAAGCUUUCGAAUUCCAGGUUCUCUUUCUCCUCUAUCUCUAUAUAGGGUUUCUAGGUGAAUUUGAGAAAUGAAUUGUCAAUUAAUUUACAUAUUUGCAGGACUGGUAGGGUUGUUUCUGCUGUGGUUUCUGAGGAGAACGCAAUUCAAUCAAGUUUCUCUGGCACCGAUGGGUUCAAGCUCACUUAUUUGGAGGUGGGUUUUCAAUUUUCUUAUUGGUACUUCUUAAAUUUGAUUACUUUUGGGGAUUUUUUUUUACUUGAAUAAAUGUUUACUUUUAGGGGAAUAGUUGGUUGUGGGAUGUGGGUGGGGUGAAAAUACUGGUGGAUCCAAUCUUGGUGGGUAAUUUGGAUUUUGGAAUCCCCUGGCUUUAUGAUGCUGCGAAGAAGUUUUUGAAGAAUUUCCAGGUACUCCUUUAGCUUCGAAAUCAAUUUUUUGAAGCAAAUUUGCCUUCGAUUUUCCUUUUUAAUUACGCAUAUGUUGCCAUUAUUUUGUAGAAUGUUGUGAAGUUGAUAGGCCUGUUUUGAUUGGGUUUGCAACUUUAGUGCAGUUAAGUGAUAUUCCAGAAGUUGAUUGCUUGCUUAUUACACAAAGUCUUGAUGAUCACUGCCAUUUGAAGACAUUAAAGCCCCUCUCCGAAAAGUACCCGAAUCUUAGAGUAAUAGCUACACCAAAUGCUAAGGCCUUGUUGGAUCCCCUUUUCAGCAAUGUGAGUUUGAAACUAAUGUUUUGUUUAAGGCUGCAGCUUCUUGAAUGUUAAUUUUGUUUUUAUUUUAAAUUUUUUAAUAUACGCUGUUUAUCCAGGUUAGGCAUGAACAAUCUCUACAGUCACCACCAAAGAAACAACGAUGCACUUAAAUAAGCAAUGCCUUGUUUCUUAAAAACUAGUGUAGUUUUUAUAAUUGGGGUAUAUAAUCCGGCUGCUGUGUUGGGUUUAUUGUGCAUCUGUUCCCUCUUAAUUUUUGGUUAAUACAUGUGCUACUAAGAUGGUGGACAUUACUACACAAAUUCUAUUCCUAAAUUUUACCUUUCGCAACAACUGAAGUUACUGAACCUUACUGUCAUUACUUCAACUUGGCUCAAUUGUUCCUGAAAAUUGCAAUGCUGGCAUGCAAGAUAUUCCCAAAGCCGUAGAUGAAGUCGCAUUCCGUGUUUCUAUUUGAGAUUUACACUAAUUUUGUUUAGGUCACAUAUCUAGAACCUGGCCAGAGCUCCAUUAUUGAAGCAGGAAAUGGUUCUACAGUCAAAGUUCAGGCCACUGCAGGGCCAGUUCUAGGUCCUCCUUGGCAGCGCCCCGAAAAUGGGUAAGGUGUCAUUUUUCUUAUUGCGAUUGUAACACUAGUGAAUUCCAUUGGCAAGGAAUGAAAUAAAAAGGAAUGAAGUUAAUGGAAAAUUCUUCUUGAUUGAUUGAAUUAAUAAUUACAACAGAGAGAGCAUAUAAAGCUUUUGCUAAUUACAAUGAAGUCCCUAACCAUCUUUACUAAUUACAAUUACAAGUGUAAACAAACUUCUUAAUGACUGAACUUAAAUUGUUGACUGUAUUGGAUGGCUUGGCUUGUAGAUUUUCCUCUUUAUGAAACAGUUCCUUGUAAUAUGUUCUUUAGUCUUUGGUUAAAUGGAUAUUAACGAGAUGUUAUAAUAUGUGGACCAGAUAUCUUGUCAUUUAUCCAGAAGGGAAAUCUACACUUUACUAUGAACCCCAUUGUGUAUACAAUACAAGUUCACUCGAGAAGGAAAGAGCUAACAUUAUUAUCACACCGGUCAUAAAGCAGCUUCUGCCUAAAUUUACCUUGGUCUCUGGACAAGAAGAUGCAGUUCGACUUGCAAAGCUGCUGAAUGCCAAGUACAGAUUCUUUAUACCUUAAUACUAACAUAUACAUAAAGAUGGUUUUACUAGACACAUAUCAACGUCUUUGUUUUACAUUUUGUAGGUUCAUUGUCCCGAUGACAAAUGGGGACUUGGAUGCCAAGGGGCUUCUUGCUAGUUUAGUUUCGGCUGAAGGAACAAUCGAAUCAUUCAAGGUUGUUUUCUUCUUCUCACGGUUUUUUCUACGGUGAAGUAUUAAGAUUUCUUUGUGCAAUAUUAUCACAAUUGAAGUUGUGGUUAUUAAAUGCAGGAACUUUUGUCCAAGGAAUUACCAGAUGCACAGGUACUGCAGCCUACUCCUGGUGUGCCGCUAGAAAUCCCGCUACCUCCAAAUCUUCCGUAAUAUGUUUUCUGCAGAAGAUAUACAGACACUGUAGCUCACUGAAAAUAUGUACACAUCUCAUCAAACUCGUAAUUUGUAAAUGUCUGUUUAUUUUAUUGAUACCAUUUGUUCACUUUUAAUCUGUAUUCAAAAGCAACUCCAAGUAGGCUUGGCCUCUGAGUUACAUAUGAGAAGCUGGUUCACUUGAACAAUAUUCCAUUUUGGAAUAGUUAUUGGGACAUCGGAGGCACAAAUAUUUGUAAGGCCCACUUAGCUAGUGGUAGAGGCAUGCCACUUAAUAAAAUGACAGACAUGCUUUCCAAUUAGCUAUUCCGUUUAGUAAAUUUUUUUUUUUUUCAAUAUUGAAGGGAGGGUUUCUUUAGUUCACAUUAAAAGUACAAAUUUAAGUUACAUAUCUGAGUAAAAGCCGUUAAAUUAUUUAACUUAGUGCUGGUUUGAGAAUGAUGUGUUUUGAAAAAAAACUGAUUCUGUUGUGCUGUGAGAAUAAACAGCUGUGAAAUAAAACUAUAGAGUGUUUGGUAAAUUUUUUUGUAAAAGUGUUUAUGGAAAAAAAAAACGGUAUUAUAAUGUUUGGUAAAUUUUUAUGUAAAACAGCUGUGAUUAUAUGAAAUAACAAAAAAACGGCAUCGAGUAGUUUCUCCCACUACUGAACUAGACUUUCCAAAAACCAAAAACAUCUCUCUAGACGUCUCCCACACAACCCCAAUUUUCUCAGUUUUUAUAUUUUUUGCUCCGUCUUCUUCUUUUUUAUUUUCUGCUCCGUCUCUUCUUUUUUAUUUUCUGCUCCAUUCCUCAAUCUCUCUCGCAUGUCAUUCCUCAAUCUCUCUCGCAUGUCAUCUGAUUUAAGGAGCUAAGAAAAUCUACUCGUAACCCUGCAGCUGCUGAAGAAAUCAAAGAUUUUGAGGGAAACCCAAAAUCCGAAAAGAGGGAAAGAAAUGAGAAAAAUGCAGAGAACCUGGUUUGGGGUUGAAGACGUGGUUGGGGGAGAGAGGGAUUCUCCCGCAAAUCGCAGUCUCCAUGAAUCGAUCUUUCUUUUUUCUUGUGCUGCUGCUUCUGCUGCAAUGCGUCGUGCGAUUUUAUUUAUUUAGUUACAGGAAUUUUCUGUUUUGGUUUAAACAACCGAAAUAACAAGAAAAAGAUCGAACAACUGGUGGACUCCUGUGCUCUGUCUGGUGGGACUUCUGGUUUUCGCAAUCCAUAAGACGGCGUCGUCUUGACCCUACCAAGUACGAACACUGAAAAUAAUUUUUGUCAAAUUAUAAAUCCAAUUUCUUCACCAAAAUAAAUGAAUAAAUACAUAAAUAAAUCCAAUUUAAAAUGAAAAUCCGAAAUGAGCGGUGGGUUAGGCAUCUCCAAUGUACUAGUUCAGUUUCAUUAACGCAAUUUAUAGUUAAUGUAAUUUGGGUCUUGAAUUUUUAUUUUCAGUCAGUUUAUACUUUAUACUUAUAAAAAUAAGUUAAUGUGAGCAUUCUGUCGACUUGUUAAGAUUUUAUUUAUUUUAUGAAAUCCUAUAAGUUGACAAAAGACUUCACAAUGACUUAUUUUAUCAAGCACUAAACUUUAGGGGUGUGAUAUCCACACAUCAUUUUUUACUUCUCACACAUUCUUCUAAGUUUCGGCCGUUAGAUCGGGUGAAUUGAAAAAGAUCAAAGAGUAGACAUUAAUAAAGAGUGUGUGAGAAGUAAAAAGAAGUACGUGGAUAGCACACCCCAAAAUUUAUUGUAACUCUUGACUAUUAAAUUUUUGAUCGUACAUUCAACCCUCAAUUUAUUAUUAGUUUCAUGUAUAAGUUAUAACGGAACAUAUUAGAUUUUUCGCAAUUUUGACACUAGGUGAAAAUGCAGAGAGCAAAAAAACGUAACUGUCCUUUUUUAAGUUUUGCUCUCACGGCCACUUUCGUCUCUCACUUCAUCUGUGUCUGUAGGUCUCCCCCUUUGAACUCUUCUCGAUUAGUUAUUCAAAUUCCAGUUAUUUAACCAUGACCGUCAGGAAAAAAAAAAAAAAGAGGAUUUCCAAGUUAAAGAAAGCAGGAAAGAAGAAAGCUGCCGAUCCGUUUACGAAAUAUGAAGAAAGAUUGGUACGACAUCAAUGCCCCUCGUCUGUGGUUCUAUAACAACAACGUGGGUAAAACUCUGGUCUCCCGUACUCAGGGCACCAAGAGUGCUUCCGGAGCACUCAAACAUCGACUUUCGGAGGUCUCAUAAACUUUUGGGGGAUGAAUUUCACUAUGGACAAGCUGAGGUCCUUGGUAAGGAAAUGGCAGACUUUGAUGGAAGCUCACGUAGAUGUGAAGACGACAGACAAUUAUACUUUAAGGAUGUUCUGCAUUGGCUUCUCUAAGAGACGUCAAAAUUGGGUCGGUAAGCGCUUGAUAACAUUACACAUCAGAAAACACUUCAAGUUCAAUAUUUUAGAAGAAAAAACUAAAUUACCCUACUUAAUCUGCAUGCAACUUUUAGCACGAUUAAUGUGUUUCAGUAUGAAACUUAUAAUUGUUCGGGAUCUUUUUUUCUUUCUUUCUUCUAAUUUACUAAAUAGGUUAAGAAGACCUGCUACGCACCAGCCAGAUUAGGCGGAUCCGCUGCAAGAUGAGGGAGAUCAUGGUCGCGUGGGCGACAACAAGUGAUCUGAAUGACUUUGUCAAAAGGUUGAUGGCUGAAAGUAUAGGUAGAGAUAUUGAGAAGGAGAUGCUGAGCAUCUUUCCUUUACAAAAUGUGUUUAUCCAUAAAGUCAAGAUGUUGAAAGCACCCAAGUUUGAUCUUGACAAGCUGAUGUAUAUUCAUGGUUAUGAAGACCUUGGUGUCAAGGUUGAGAGCCCUGAUCAUCAAGAAGAAACUGCCCUGGAAUAAAACGUAGGACAGUGAUGUUUUGCUUUAAACUAAUCCCAACUGCGGGGAGGAGGAUUCGAACUCAAGUGCAUAAUAGAGCAUAACUAGUCUAGCGAAUGCAGCUAUGCCCAAGUUUAUAGAUAUCAUCGAAGGUUAAUUGUUGCCAGCAUUUUUUUUUAUUUUCUUCUACUUUAAAGUUGCUCGAAUUAUGUUUUGUGAAAUUUCUCUGAGGACAAAGAACCACUUAUUCAUUUCCCGCCAUUUAUGCGGUAUAUGAAUAUGAAUUUUUCAUGACAAUAUAUUAGAUAACACUACUCCAAAAGAGUAUUUUGACUUGAAAUUGCUUAUGGUAAAGCAAAUGCACAACCAGAACCUAGCAUUAAAAAGUAGAAACAAAUGAAAAUGAUACACGAGUUGCUUGGUACGUAGCUUGGCGUUAAAUAUGAUCCACUCUAAUUAAAAGACAGCAUGCUUGAUUAAUUCUUGAAGGAAGAGGAUGACAGAACACUAGUCCUUACUAGUUACUCCGCAACUUGGAUAAUACAUAAUUUUCGUCUGAUUAGUGGCAUAAUAAUCCGCUUAUAUAUCGUUAAUUACGUGUAAAAACGAUAUGUUGAUGCAUCAGCAAUGAUAUUACGAAAACCUCCAACUGUGGAAGCCAACAUGAUGAACACUCCGAUGAAUAUGCAAACCUGUAAACACACACAAUCCUCAUAAAUAAACUUUUUUGUAGCAUGAUGUAUCAAUUUGCGAUAUCGACAACAAGGAACAUUAGAUAUCUUUGGCUUACCCAGUUGACGAGCCAUUGAAUGCUGUAUCUCUUUGGUUUCUUAAUUCUCAGCCACAUUAUACAAGGAAGCUGUUGAAAAAAUGCUCACUUAGUUAAUUUCUUUCUGAUGAUGUAGUUCUGUAAUUUGUGCAAGAAACAAAUUAAGAAAUCAAAUAGAGUGAGAUAGGCUUACAAAGUAUGAAGUGGGGGCAAAACCAAAUCCACCAAAGAAACCAAGAAGGUCUCCAAAGAAAGGGAAGGUGACUCCAACAAAUAAUGUAAAUGCUGCAACAAUAUAGUGAUUAGGAACUUAAUUAGGGUUUAAUCAAGCAGAAAUGACAGAGAUACGGAGACGUAUGGGAAAUGGGAAUCUCACCAACAUAAGCUGAUCUCGUGAUUAGUCUAAGUGCAAUUCCAGGUGGGAAGUUCAUCUUUUUCACCAUCAUCCUCUCAAGCAUGUCAAAAACAGGCAUAGCAUAAACCUGCACACUUUUCAGUCACAUCCUUAAUUUAAUGUAGUUCUAAUAUUAAUGAGAAACACUCAAAGAAUCAAAGCAUAGAUAAAAGCCAUCUCCUAUCAACUGUUAAAGUCGGAGUCACUAAUGGUCGGAUCAGUUCCAAUUAUUUCUUUUCAAAAUAAUGUUUAAAGUGUGUGUUUUUACGAUAGAAAACACUUCUAAUCAUUAUCAUUUAUAUUAGAAGUGCUUUUGUUAUAAAUUUAAAAAAAAAAUUAGAUAAUUCCAAGUGUUUCCAAAACUUUUAUAAAAUAUAUUUGGAAGUGCUUUCUAGAAAAACACUCAAAAAUGCUUUUAAGUUUUUAUGUCAAACGUAAUCAAAAGCAUUUUUAGUUGUCUGCUUUUGUAACUGAGUGCAGAUUUAUACCUGGUAGCUGCCAAUGACAUGGACGACAACCAUUAGGUUAGCAGCAGCAAUGAGCCAUGUAGGUUUUUUAAGAUCUAUGAGCACGUUAUCAUCGACAUCUUGACCAAAGCCCAGUACCCGAUGAGGGCCACCGGGAAAUAGCAAAUUGCGUUGAUAAAGUAGGCUCCUAGAGCACCUUUCCACAUGGGAAUUCUCGACGGCUUCUCAGGCGUCGAUGGAAUUGUGGCUUGGAUUUCAAGCACCACUGCAUGCCCAGCAAAUGCAAACGAGAUUUGACCUAAUGCAUUGAAAACCCUAAACAUGUAAUCUGCAGGGCUUGUUUUCUUGUAUGCAUAGCUCACGUUUUCAACCUGACCUUUGCUUAAGCAACCUGCCCACGCUAUAGUUGAAUAACUGCAAAUUAACAACAAAUUCUAGUUAUUAAGAAAAAUUAUAUAUUAUUUGCCUUCUAAAGUUCUCUUGUUAGGUUUACGAGUAAAUCUUCCGUAGGGUUGUCCUACUAUUGGUAGAACUAGAGCAUGCAUCUCUAUCCAAAUUUUUCUCGAAUUUUAAAAGGAAAAUAUUCACAAAUAAAAUUAGAAGGCACUAAAACAAUAACAUAAAUAUUGUGCAACGUACUAGUGUAUUAUUUGUUUAGUAACUUUCUAGUUUUACUUUUAAUUUAAAAGUUCAUAAGUAGUUGUCACUUAUACGAAUAGUGGAAUAUAUGUGUUAAAAAAUUAAACUUUCUGCCACUUAUAUAAUAACAUGUGGUGUACCACUUGUGUUCCCGUCAUAAUGAAAAUUUUCUCCUUUAACUUGAGUUUGUGUAAAGUACGUAAAAAGGAAUUAAUUUCUGCACACUCCCUCUUCUUUUUUUUCUGUUUUUUUUUUAACAGGUUUUGUUUGGCCUAAAGCAAGUCUUCUAAAUCAGAUUUUCCUUCUCAUGGAAAGUGAAAAUUAAAAUUACUACCUUAGUGACAUGAUAGCUGCUGCUAGAGAAACACCAGCAACAGAGUUGAAAUUGGGGAGCUGGGAAAGAAAGAAAUGAAGGGAACCAAAGAUGACAAUCCAGUACGAUUGCUUGACUGGUGUGCAAUUGGCACAUGCCAUCUCCACAAAUUUCUUUAGACACUUUCCUCCGGUGACCAUGUACACUAUGUCACAACCAACCUGCACAAUCAUUUGUUGCGGAAGCACAAUCCAUGGCCCGAACUUUGGUCCGAAGGCGUGUCGGCCAAGGUCGAUGUAUCGGUCAAACCUAGUUCCCGGAACACAUUCAUGGAGCUGAAUCAUCUGCCACAUUGUGUUCAAGGUCAUGCACCAUGAUAUUACCAGCACCAUUGUCCCUGGACCCCUGAAAAUUAAAGGUAGAAAAAAGUAGGGCUUAUUAGUAUAUUAAUACAAGUACAACUCGUAUAUGUAUUAUUAUCAUGAGUUGGGGUGUUUUGUACCAUCCUAAGAAGGCCAUGGCAUACGGCAGGCUGAGUACACCGGCACCGAUCAUGGCGGUGACUGUGUGAAAGGUGGAGUACCACCAUUUUGCUCGGCGGGCGUUGUCCACCGGCUCCUCCUUCCAUUUGUCGUCUGAAACAACUUCCUGCCAUAGUUUCAAGGACAAGAACGAACAAACAGAAAAAUCAGAGUGGAAUUUGGAAAACGUCGUGUGAAUAAAGAGUGGUGAUGCUCACCUUUGGAGGAGGAGAAGUUGUAACCAUUUUUUUUCUCUUCUUUUGCGAUGAAGACAGAGAAACACUUUCAAUGUGGGAGUUGAUUGGUCGUCAUCAUGCUGUACGUAUAUAGUGGUUUCCUGGCCCGGAAUAUAGGCAGAAAUGUGGGAUAGUACAUUCCAAAACCCCACUCAUGCAUUUAUUUUUAGCUUUUUUUUUUUAACACAGGGACUUGUGCUUUUCCAGUUGAGUGAGAAAUUUUUAGUUGUGACGAAAACAUGAGUGGUACACCACGUGUUUUUAUGUAAGUGGUGGAAAAUUUUACUUUUUAAGUUAUUAACUUUUUAACACACAUAUCCCACUAUUUAUAUAAUGACACGUGGUGUAUCAUCCGUGUGACGGUCACAUUAAAAAAUCUCUCCAGUUGAGCAAUCGUGAAUCAUAUAGGAAAAAGCGGUAAAUAAUUUAGUAAAUUAAGAUGAUAUAACAAAGGGAAAGAGAUCCUUUCCGGAUCUCUUCCUUCACAGUCCAGGGAUCAAUUGAUCCAGAUCCUUGAAAUUUGAUCCACCGGUCAAAAAUUAUUAUAACUUUUAAAAGUUUUUACUAACUUUUUAUUUAUUUAUUUAUUUAUUUAUUUUUACUAACUUCUUUGUUUUUAGCCGUUAAAUCAAAUUUCAAGAGACCGGAUCACUUGAUCCUUAGGCUUUGAAGGGAGAGAUCCGGAGAUAUCUCUUUCCAUAACAAAACCCCUUGUAUGUACUUGGCAAACGAUGUUAAAGUUUUAAACCCUCCACUUAAAAUUAUCUAAAGUGACACGAGCUAAUAUUGCAAACAAGGUUUUACGAGACUUCACAUUUGUCAUACUAGCAAUUAUACACGUUUAUGGUGGCUAAAACUUUUUGGUGAGGAACCUCCAAAAUAUUUUUCGUCGCUGAAGAGGCUUUUUAUAUCUUUAGCGAUUGCUUAUGCAUAUCUAUUUCAUACUAGGAGUUUAUUUUAUUUAGGAGAAAAAUAAGGGAAAAAAAAUGGAGGCAACUGAUAUGAUCACCUGGCCAUGAAACUUUGAAAAAUAAAAAAUAGUAAAAUUAAUUUGUGUUUAAUUUUACUAUAUUGCCAGUGACUUUUAUGUUGGUUAUUUUUCUUUAUUUUGUUGGUAGGGCUAAUUUGAUCAUUUCAAUCUCUUUUGGUUGACAAAUAGAGUUUUGUUAAUAAAUAUUUUAGAUUAUGUGGUUGGAGAGAGGUAUGGAUUGGACUUUCUUAUUAAGUUAGUUUCUUACAUUGAUGAGACCAGUAUGAUAUACGAUCAUGAGACCUAAUACAAGAAAUUUUAUGUCAAAUGGCUCUAAAGAUAACAUGCAACACGUGAGUUUAUAUAUGAAAGAUAUGUUUCUUAAAACGGGCACAAACAAAUUUUUCUCCAAAAUUACUCAAGAUAACUAGGACUGUGGUUUGAUGAUAUACUCCACCCACUUUGAUGCUAUAUACAAAGGAAUCUAAGGACCCCAUUUUGAAAAGCAUUAUUCCAUUAAGCUCCCCAUUUUGACAAGCAUCAUUUCAUAAACCUCCCUUGUCAAUUUUUCUUUACACAAAAAGUUCUUAUGUGCAAUUAUUUAUUUCUAUCCCAAGUUUUGAACCAAUGAUUAAAGAGCUUAGUUGGUGGUGAAUGGAGCCACCUAAAUUGAAUGCGUUGGCAUUAUAAAGAGGGAAUAGUUUGAGGGGUUAAUGAUUAAAGAGCAAGUGAAGGAAUGCUCUUCGUGUAUGGGAGUCGCUGGUGGGGGCUCUUUUUCUUUCUUCUUUUCGAGUGUCCCCUGUGGCUUUGCUAUUUGCAUCCCCAAAAGCCAAUGACGAUUGACUGCUACCCACUUCUUACCACAAAAUAACAAGUAUUAUAUGAUUAUAUCUUGUUUAAUUAAUCUUACACUAAUUCAACAUCAUGCUUAUAUCAUACAACAUGAGUAAUGCUAUUCAUAUUAUGUUUUUAUACCACACUAGGUGGCAUCUGAUGUCAAUAGCCACAUCAUUUGAAAAAUUUGCAAAAUCCGAGGAAAUGAAGGAGAAAGACUUCUCUUAUACCACAAUCAUCAUUUAAUUAACUAGUUUUUCUUAAUUAUUAGUUUAUUAAAUAAUGAACUAAAUUUAAAAAUCUGAUCAAUUCAAAUAAUUUGGCUGUCCACAUCAAAUGCAAUCUAAGGUGGUAUGAAAAUGUGGUACAAAAACUUGGUAUGAAUAGCGUUACGACAAUUGUAGGUUUUAUGACGGUUUUUGUAGAAAUUUGUAAAACCGAUUAAAAACUGCAAGUUAGACACCCAUUAAACCCAUAACGUCCUCCAGAUAGCAAACGAACGAGGGGAGUUUAUAACAGAUGUUGCGAAGACUCGUUAUAGUAGUCAAGGACUAGAUGAAACUCCAAGCAGAUUGACUACCUCCAGACCUUAAAUCCUCAUCUUGAACAAAACCAGCACUUAAUUAAUAAGCAUAUUUAACAGUAAAGCAUCCAUUAGAAGAAGAACCCAAAUGCAGGAAUCACUUAUCGGGCAUAUCCCCUUUAACAUCAGUAGGGUUACUUGUUAGUCCGCCGUACGACAUCGGCACGAAGAACAUUCAAAAGCAUCACAAAUUUCUAUCGAACGCAAGUCAAGUAACUAGCCACAGUUUCAUAAUUUUCAUCUAAAAAGAUAGGCCUCUGAAACUGAUAAAUAAAAGUCCGAUCAUUAGGGGUUACAAUGGCUGAUAGUAAAGUUAUUUAUAUGCGAGUCCCCGAGUGUUUAUAACAAGUUGAAGCUCUUAUUUAACCCAUAAAGCCCCCUCCAGGCAUAUUAGGCCCUUGUGACGAAACCUGUCCCUGUGAAACUAAUUGCGACCGGCCUUGAACAUAAGCUUGAGUCAUCCCCGUCCCAACCAACUGUUGUUGUUGAUGCUGUUGAUGCUGUUGCUGCAAUUGCUGAAGCUGCGGCAGUUGCUGUUGUGAUUGAAGUUGUGAGAGCUGCUGCUGCGAGAGUUGCUGCUGUUGUUGAAUCUGAGGGUGCUGAUGUUGAAUCUGUGGAUGUUGUUGUUGAAUCUGAGGAUGCUGUUGUUGCUGACCGGGUACUUGCAUUUGUUGCUGCUGUUGCUGACCCGGUACUUGCAUUUGUUGCUGCUGUUGCUGACCGGGAACUUGCAUGUGUUGUUGCUGACCGCCUACUUGAAUUUGUUGCUGCUGUUGCUGACCAGGAACUUGCAUGUGUUGUUGCUGACCGCCUACUUGAAUUUGUUGCUGUUGUAGCUGUUGCAUUUGCUGCUGCUGCUGCUGCUGCUGCUGUUGCUGACCACCUACUUGUGGUUUAAACACAACCAUAUCCUGAACCGAUGGUAGAUUUAGCUUUAACAAAAACCAGGUUGUAAGAAGGUUACAAUGCCGAGCCACAAACUCAAUUUGGAGUACCACCACAGGCCUCCAUUUCAGAAAGAAGUUAAAACAGAAGUUGCAGGAUAUGCAGGGAACCUUCAGAACUAAAAGCACCUUAUACAGGCUAGAAAGGUCUUUAACGAUCCCCACAAAAUUUUCGCAAAAUAAAAGGUCCAUUUUCCAGGUUUCUUUUAGUAAUGAAGGUACCUCACAUAUUUGUUGUGGAUUUAGCUCAGAGUUGGUGGCUAUUACUUUAUAUUGGCAAAAAACUAAUAAUAAGGAAUUACAAUCCGCGGUAAUAAGAAUGGUCUAACUAAUAACAAGCUCACCCCUGGAAACAGCAUUCCAAUCAAGCGAUAUGCUUUGUCUGAAACAGAGAGCAGUAGUGUCUGAGAGGGCAAUUGGAUCACUGCACACUGAAAAAGUGGGAAAUCAGCUUUUUGAGAAGAAAAAAAAACAUAUCAGAAUAGUCCUCGGUUUCAUGUUCACAUUCAAAGGAAAACUAUUGCAGGUGGUCAAAUAAAAUAGAAGAACUAGCUUUUGAUGCUGAAGUCUCACAUGGAUGAUACCAGAAUCAAGAAUUACCCCACUUCAAGCCAAGAGAGCCAAUUAAAUGCAUAAAUUUAGUUUAUCACAGCAUUUAGAGGUUCUUGAGUUUAAACAGAUAAUUAACCAAGUUCAUAUGAGAAUGUCACACAGAAUCUAAGGAAGUACUCUGCCAUAUCAGAAUUUACAGAUAAUCAAGUGGUAAUCCAAGAUGCUUAGAUUAAUAUAUAUAACAGAAGACGAUGAUUAGGCAAGUGGGUAAGGACUUUUAAGGGAUAAAGUGGAAGCGGCAAGAAAUUGGAUAGCAAAUUAGCAAUGAGGACAAUUUUUGAGUCUCAAAGGAAAAAGUGGUAAGGUAAAAUAAAGAGAGUAGACAGCUUACAAGUUUCUUCUCUUGCAAUUGCCCAAGAAACCCAUGCUGAUUCAUUGCCCGAAAAACUAAAAAGUCUGCCUUUCCAACAUAUUGCCUGAAUUAUAAAUAUUGAUGAAGUCAAGAAAACUGAGGAAUAUAACAUCAGGAGGAAAAUAUUACACAGAAAAAUAAAGGAGGGAAUGUUUUCACUAAAUUGUAAUUACUUGUUAUUCAUGUGGUCCUGAGAUAUGAGCCUCACUAUUUGCAUUGUUGGUGGCCAGUUCGCCGCAAGCCUGAGGAGUGAAAUAAUGCACAUCAAUAAAUAAACGCCAAUGACACAUUUUACCAUAGUCUGAGAUUAAGAUUUUAUUGUACACUAAAGCACCAACCAAUUAAGGCCAACUAAAGAGUUCUGAUCAAAAUACAUUCAACCUCACGCCACUAUUCUUACAGCAUGUCAAGAUAUUAGGAUUCUAAGAAUGAAGGUAACUAAAUUUUUAUUUUAACCAAAGAAAAAGCCGUCUGCUUUGAUAAGUUAGAAAUAUUAAUAGUCAUAGACCUCUUUUUCUACAUAAAAGAAUUAAAGUUAAAAUAGAAACUUUAAACCAUUGAUUACAUUCCAUUAACAUCUAUUUGAAACAAAAAGAAGAAAGAGUACUCCCGACUUACGUCUCAGAAGCUGAAGCACUCCUGUAACCCUGACAAAAUUAGAAAGCAUUUGUGGAGUCAACAAAUAAUUAACUGCUAAAAUUGUAAAAGAUAACUAAGAGAAAUAUAAAUAAUCCCAUGUCGUUAGGCCCUAAACAUGCCUCAUGCUGUGGUUUAAUUCAGGAUGCUCACACCCUUAUGGUUAUCAAAUUGUCUAUAAAAAUAGAUGCUAUUGAUAGCACACUUGAAAUAACUAUUUAUGGAUUGUUCAGUGUUUUCGGCAAUUUUUGUUCUCUCUCCUCCUCCAACAAAUAUAUUAAAACUCAAACCAAAUGCAUAAUACUUUUGAAUUCAAAUCACUCUGAAGCACAAUCACAAGGAAACAUAGAGAACUUUUUUCAGAAAAAUUUAAGUUCGACAUAAAUAACUAUGGUUAUCCAUGACAGCACAUUGGGUUGAUUCAAUGGCAAUUUGGAAUUUCCCUCUCCGGUGAUAGUUUAUCAGUGGUGUUUUGGGUGAAGAGUAGUUUGUGGAUAUCAAAGAAAUGAUGGUCAGAUGGUUUACCAAUUUAUAUGGAAACAUACUGAAAAUCCUCAUGUGCCAAAGUCACACACAUGCUCCAUUUUUCUCUCAAAAAUAAUGAUUUUGUGCAAUGCAAGAAACCAGACGUAAGAGUAUCACAAAAUAAACCACAGUUUCCAUGUCAUCCAACAAGGCAACGGAGAACGAACCUCCAAUCUAGUGAUAAACACAGGCUGCCCUUGUCUCUGCCCAGAUAAAGCUCCCUGCAUGUAUUUUGAUCAUUCAAGUAUGAGUGAUUGCGGAAUACCACAGUAAAACAGGACCAACCAUCUUUAAAACUUUCGUGAUAUUCUAGCUUAAAAAAGUUACCACCAGAAGUUUGAAAAUCCAACCGUAUUUUUUUAAAAGACCUACCUCCCAGACUUUCACAUAUUUGGAUUGUGCAGAUGCCAGAGCACUUGAUGUCUGUUGUGAAAAUGGCACAUUAGAUGCUGAAUUAUUGUUUGCACCAAGUGACUGCAUCCCAGAUUGCACCUGUUGAGCCAUUCCUGGAGUAGGAAUCAUUGUACCAGUUCCAGAAGAGGCACCUGUUGAACCAAGGGCACUCAUCAUGUUUGGGUUCAUGCCAAUUCCACUUUGAACCAUUUGCGGUCCCGAGAGAUUUCCUUGGCUCAUACCAGGCACAGCUUGACCCAUACUAACACCACCUUGAAGGUUGCUCAUUGGUUGUGACAUCCCAAGGUUAUUGUUGCUCAUUGGUUGUGACAUCCCAAGGUUAUUGUUGCCAGAGACAUUAGAGGUACCUGAAGUGAAUGAAUUAAGACCUGGGUUCUGCGCAACCUGUGUAAGAGUGCCGGACCCGGAAGAUGAAAAUACAUUUUGAGCAGCACCAACUGAAGAUGCCAUUCCACUAGAUAUCAUGUUUGAUACAUGCAUGGCCAUAGGAUUUUGACCCAUAGUUGGGAGUCCCAUAGAAGUUCCUCCAGUUAAGGCUGCUGCGUUCAUCACGCGUGCUUGAGAGAUGUUAUUGAGGAUGCUACCUACAGGACGCGAGGGAUGUGUC
rnacentral:lncRNA from 1 species